rnacentral:tRNA from 1 species
AGGCCCAUAGCUCAGUGGUAGAGCCGGCGUCUUAUACACGCCUGGUCGCUGGUUCGAUCCCAGCUGGGCCUACCA